GUGUUGUAUGAAAGGAGAGAAGGUUAGCACUCCCCUUGACAAGGCUUGUGGUAGAUGGCUUUAAUUAUAUUGAGGAAAGUCCCCACUAUCCCCAUUUUGGCGAGGGUGUGUUAUUUAU